AUGGGGAAGCGGAAGUCGACGCGCGCGAAGACGGCGCCGCGGAAGAAGGCGGAGAAGCUGGACACGUCCUUCUGCUGCCCCUUCUGCAACCACCCCGACAGCAUCGACUGCAAGAUCGACCUCAAGCACAUGGUGGCCGAGGCCUCGUGCAGCACCUGCAGCGAGAGCUACUCCACCACGGCGCACGCCCUCACCGAGCCCGUCGACGUCUACGCCGAGUGGAUCGACGAGUGCGAGAAGGCCAACGCCGACCGGGACGAGGCCAGCAACGACGUCGUUCGGGAAGAGGUGGACGACGACGAGUACGCAUGA
rnacentral:rRNA from 1 species